rfam:Candidatus Methanosphaerula palustris E1-9c, complete genome.
ACUGGCGGCCAUAGCAAUCGGGAUACACCUGGACCCAUGCCGAACCCAGUAGUUAAGCCGGUUUACGUCGUAUGCUGUACUGAGGUACGCGAAUCCUCGGGAACCAUACAACGCUGCCAGUA